CUGGCAGUAAACGGUGCACGCUUGGUGUGGCAGGAAUCGACCCCUGCCGUGCCGGAGCUAACGCGUUAAGCGUGCCGCCUGGGAAGUACGGUCGCAAGAUUAAAACUCAAAGAAAUUGAC
rnacentral:rRNA from 1 species